GACAGGGUAGCUUAGUCGGCAGAGCAUGAGACUCUGAAUCUCAGGGUUGUCGGUUCGAGCCCCACCUUGGGCA